UGGCCUAGUAGUUAAGGCUAUGGAUCGCCAAUCCGGAGACGGCGGGUUCGAUUCCCGU
rnacentral:tRNA from 1 species